rnacentral:rRNA from 1 species
AGUGAACGCUGGCGGUAGGCCUAACACAUGCAAGUCGAACGGCAGCACAGUAAGAGCUUGCUCUUACGGGUGGCGAGUGGCGGACGGGUGAGGCAUACAUCGGAAUCUACUUUUUCGUGGGGGAUAACGUAGGGAAACUUACGCUAAUACCGCAUACGACCUACGGGUGAAAGCCGGUGAUCUUCGGACCUUGCGCGAUUGACUGAGCCGAUGUCGGAUUAGCUAGUUGGCGGGGUAAAGGCCCACCAAGGCGACGAUCCGUAGCUGGUCUGAGAGGAUGAUCAGCCACACUGGAACUGAGACACGGUCCAGACUCCUACGGGAGGCAGCAGUGGGGAAUAUUGGACAAUGGGCGCAAGCCUGAUCCAGCCAUACCGCGUGGGUGAAGAAGGCCUUCGGGUUGUAAAGCCCUUUUGUUGGGAAAGAAAAGCAGCAGGUUAAUACCCCGCUGUUCUGACGGUACCCAAAGAAUAAGCACCGGCUAACUUCGUG